GCGGGAGGCCGAACUGAUUAGAAGCUUGCUUCUAUGACGUUAGCGGCGGACGGGAGAGUAACAGAGGGGGCAACCUGCCUGUAAGACUGGGAUAACUUCGGGAAAACGAAGCUAAUACCGGAUAGGAUCUUCUCCUUCAUGGGAGAUGAUUGAAAGAUGGUUUCGGCUAUCACUUACAGAUGCCCCCCGCGGUGCAUUAGCUAGUUGGUGAGGUAACGGCUCACCAAGGCAACGAUGCAUAGCCGACCUGAGAGGGUGAUCGGCCACACUGGGACUGAGACACGGGCCAGACUCCUACGGGAGGCAGCAGUAGGGAAUCUUCCGCAAUGGACGAAAGUCUGACGGAUCAACGCCGCGUGAGUGAUGAAGGCUUUCGGGUCCUAAAACUCUGUUGUUAGGGAAGAACAAAUAUGAAAGUAACUGCUCGUCCUUGA
rnacentral:rRNA from 1 species